AUUUCAUUCUGGAAGUGCUUGCUUGUUGGUGACUCUGAGAAAAUUCUCCUUGAACAUGAUUUACAUGGGUUUACAAAGGACGAUAAUACCCCUUGUGUGACAGUGAAGGAAGUGACUGAGAGGCUGCUGAAUGUGAUCCAUGAACCUAGAAACAACACCCGUUNUUUAAAUUUGAUAAUUAUUAUAAAAAGAUAUUUGUGUUUUGUUUUUGUUUCCAUUUUUGAACAUAAUCAUUCUAAAACUCACAUCCAAACACCACUGAAUCAAACGAGUUGAUAUUCCUUCCACAUUGAUAACACUCAUCACAGGCGGAUAUCGCGUUAGAGAUGGAAAUGGAGCUUACUUCCGGCAACCGUAUCGCCGACGCCGAUUCAGGCAAACAAAAUGAAUAUAAAAGAAGAAACUAUUCAAUUUUUGAACUCCCGUCGAAUUUCUUUGAUUCCUGCGGUUUCAUUGAAUUGCUUUCAACCCCUGAACUCGCUAACAACCCCGCUACUACUCCGGGAAAAACCGUAGAAGAAACAGAGGUGGCGCCGGAGAAGAAUGCUAGUUCUAGUGAGAGAUUGACGUGUAAUACUUGUACAUCCAGUUUUGAGUCGCUUCAUGAUCAACGGUCUCACUUCAAGUCCGAUUUUCAUCUUUUCAAUGUAAAUUCUCUUGACCUAACUUAAUUAAGUGUGCAGUUCGUAUAUAUCAUAUUAUUGAAAUUUCAUAUGCUUCAUGAAGUAUGAUUAAUUAAUUAUUGUAGGUUUGUGAUUUUCAACAAUUUAUAAAGACUGUCCACUGCAUAUUUGAACUGUAUAAGAAUUUAAGCCAAAUGUUGUGUUACUGGUUAAAAUUCUAUAAGUUUUCCUUUAAGAUUUACUCGAAUACAACAAAAAAAAUUCAGUAUAAUGUUUCUCCUAGAGUCUCUGAUAUUUUACUUUGUUUCUAUAUGCAUAAUGUUUUUUUUUUAUCUCAGAUAAAGUUAAGCAUUGCUGGAAAGGAAACUGUUAGGGAGGAUGAUUUUGAUGAAUUGAGUUCCAAUUCCAUAGUUAAAGAUUAUGAUAUAUCAAGCAUAUCAGGUUCAGAAAAUGAAGAAAACAGAGAAUUUGACAGCCUCAGGGAUUCAACUAAGGGAUUGUUGGGAAGUAUGAAGCAGAAGAUUUUUAUGCAUCUAUCCAAUGGAGAAACAAUUUCAUUCUGGAAGUGCUUGCUUGUUGGUGACUCUGAGAAAAUUCUCCUUGAACAUGAUUUACAUGGGUUUACAAAGGACGAUAAUACCCCUUGUGUGACAGUGAAGGAAGUGACUGAGAGGCUGCUGAAUGUGAUCCAUGAACCUAGAAACAACACCCGUUUCAGAGUUAUGUUGCUUGCUACUGGUGGGCAUUUUGUUGGUUGUGUCUUUGAUGGAAACUCCAUUGU
rnacentral:lncRNA from 1 species